UCUAAAUAUGGCAAAAAGUAUUCCAUCGACCCCCCUAUUUUUUUUCAUUCCGUUCAGUAUUGAUAACACACUUCUCAAUUUUGCCCUCAUCCUCACCUAUGUUCCCUCGCUAAUCCAUUUCCUCUAAUCAAGGGAUCUCUGGUUAUGUAUUUCUUUCAUCUUAUCUUCAUCAUCGAGCAGAGCUUUAGCAUUUGAACCCUAAAUCACCAGUCACUUGUUUGGAUUUUCGUCAUCAAACACAAAAUCAGAUGGGGAUGAGGCUGCCCAGAUGCAUCAGUUGUUACAGUUAGUGAAUGAUUUUGUGGGGUCAGAUAGGAAGGAUGAGUGGCGAUGGGUUCUGGACGGGUCUGGGAAAUUUACGGUUAGAAGCAUAAAAGAGCAUCUUGUCUUGCAUAGAUACAGUAUUCCGGAGUAUGUGCACAGGUGGAAUAAUUGGGUUCCAAAAAAGGUGGGGAUUCUCACAUGGCGGGCGAACCUCGACAGGCUUCCGACUAGGUGUGCGUUGGCAAGGCGGAAUAUAAACGUUCCAAAUGUUUUAUGUCCGAUGUGUGGCGAAGCGCAAGAGACUACGGAGCAUAUUUUGUGACUUGUUGCUUCGUUCAGAUGGUUUCGCAACUAGUUUCACAAUGGUGUAAGCUUCAGCCGAUAUUUGCGUUCCGGGUAAGGGAUCUCCUUGAUUUACAUCUGUAUGUUGGUGGCUC